GCGGAGGAAAAGAAACCAACUGGGAUUACCUUAGUAACGGCGAGUGAAGCGGUAAAAAGCUCAAAUUUGAAAUCUGGUACUUUCAGUGCCCGAGUUGUAAUUUGUAGAAUUUGUCUUUGAUUAGGUCCUUGUCUAUGUUCCUUGGAACAGGACGUCAUAGAGGGUGAGAAUCCCGUUUGGCGAGGAUACCUUUUCUCUGUAAGACUUUUUCGAAGAGUCGAGUUGUUUGGGAAUGCAGCUCAAAGUGGGUGGUAAAUUCCAUCUAAAGCUAAAUAUUGGCGAGAGACCGAUAGCGAACAAGUACAGUGAUGGAAAGAUGAAAAGAACUUUGAAAAGAGAGUGAAAAAGUACGUGAAAUUGUUGAAAGGGAAGGGCAUUUGAUCAGACAUGGUGUUUUUUGCAUGCACUCGCCUCUCGUGGGCUUGGGCCUCUCAAAAAUUUCACUGGGCCAACAUCAAUUCUGGCAGCAGGAUAAAUCAUUAAGAAUGUAGCUACUUCGGUAGUGUUAUAGCUUUUUGGAAUACUGUUAGCCGGGAUUGAGGACUGCGCUUCGGCAAGGAUGUUGGCAUAAUGGUUAAAUGCCGCCCGUCUU
rnacentral:rRNA from 1 species